UUGCUUGUAUGAUGAUUUAAGUGAUGUUUGUAGGGACAUCUGAGUAUUUGAUGAGCCAACAUCUCUGACAAGUAA
ensembl:snoRNA